rnacentral:misc_RNA from 1 species
AGAAGAAAAAAUCAGAUGCUCACGAGGGUAACCGUCCCCUAUGUGUUAAUCGUAGCUUGUUGGUCCGGCGGGCCCGCCGUGCAGGCUACGGGGGGGCAUCCGCCCCCGGGCCCGCUCCCGCCGAACACACAAUUGAACGCUGUCUGAAGAUUGCAGACUGAGCGAUUAACUAAAUCAGUUAAAACUUUCAACAACGGAUCUCUUGGGUCCGGCAUCGAUGAAGAACGCAGCGAAAUGCGAUAAGUAAUGUGAAUUGCACAAUUCAAUGAAUCAUCGAGUCUUUGAACGCACAUUGCGCCCCCUGGUAUUCCGGGGGGCAUGCCUGUCCGAGCGUCCUUGCUGCCCUCAAGCACGGCUUGUGUGUUGGGCCCCGCCCCCCGGCUACCGGGGGGCGGACCCGAAAGGCAGCGGCGGCACCGCGUCCGGUCCUCGAGCGUAUGGGGCUUCGUCACCCGCUCUGUAGGCCCGGCCGGCGCCCGUCGGCGACCCCCCUCAAUCUUUCUCAGGUUGACCUCGGAUCAGGUAGGGAUACCCGCUGAACUUAAGCAUAUCAUAAGCGGAGGAAUUACGAUUUUUCCCCUCUUGUCCAACUUCCCCAUAUUAU